rnacentral:tRNA from 1 species
CCCUGUGGCUCAGUUGGUAGAGCAUGGUGUUUGCAAUGCCAGCAUGGUGUGUGCAACGCCAGGGUUGUGGGUUCGAUUCCCAUGAGGG